CUCACACACACACACAUACGCACACAUACAUUUUUCCUUGCUCUGCUUUUCUGUACUUUCUGCCGACCUGCUUACUCUCCACCUUCUCCUCUCCCUUCCUCUUCCCCAGCACCUUUUUUCAUUGUGGUGUGGUAAACUCUCCGCUCUGGCUGUGUCCCACAACUGCCGUGUCCUGCUCCUCGCUUUCCUCACAGAACACAGAGGACGGACACAAGGAUGCUCCGUAAUGCAGAGGAAGAGGCCAGCGGUCCUGGAUGCUGACCCAGGUGACACACACUCUGCAGAAGUGUGUAUGCCAGCAGUAUCACUGCAUUGCUGUCCAUUUCAGUGUGUAUCCCAGCACAAACAUGGCAUCUCUGUUCAUUUAGCUUCCCACUAACUGCCGGAGGGAGGGCAGCGGAAAGAGCACGGCGCAGGUGCGAGAGGACAGCAGAGGGGAAGGAGGGAUCCAGGGGGAUUCAAAGUCCAGUCAGCCUGAUGAUGCCCUCCUCAGGGCCUCUGUGCCCCCCGAGUUCCCUGUCCAUUCCUUCACAGUGUCCAGGUCAGAGUCCCCGCAUGCUGAUGAAUUCAGCCAUUGUGCUGUCAGUCCCAUAACCUGUGUAUUAAACAGUUCCAAUGUGUCCCUGGUCCUCUGUGGUGUCACAGCCAAUACCCAUAAUGUCACAAAGGCCUUUUCAGUUUGUGUUGUGUUGUACUGUAUUGUCUGACAAUUUGUCUGACGUUUCUUGUACUAUGUGUUUGUAUCUGUGCACGCAAUCAAAUUUCCCCUCAGGAUCAAUAAAGUACGCAAAGAUCGAUCAAUCUA